ACUUCACUCGGAAGAUUGUGCACUGAAAUAAAAAUGAUACAAAAAAGAUUAACAUGGCCCUCAUGGAAGGGUGGCAGGUAAUGUUAUGAAGUUUUGAACAUUUUU